rnacentral:rRNA from 1 species
AGAGUUUGAUCAUGGCUCAGAACGAACGCUGGCGGCAGGCCUAACACAUGCAAGUCGAGCGCUGUAGCAAUACAGAGCGGCGCACGGGUGAGUAACACGUGGGAACGUGCCCUUUGGUUCGGAAUAACUCAGGGAAACUUGAGCUAAUACCGGAUGAGCCCUAACGGGGAAAGAUUUAUCGCCGAAGGAGCGGCCCGCGUUGGAUUAGCUAGUUGGUGGGGUAAAAGCCUACCAAGGCGACGAUCCAUAGCUGGUUUGAGAGAACGACCAGCCACACUGGGACUGAGACACGGCCCAGACUCCUACGGGAGGCAGCAGUGGGGAAUCUUGGACAAUGGGGGAAACCCUGAUCCAGCCAUGCCGCGUGAGUGAUGAAGGCCCUAGGGUUGUAAAACUCUUUCGGCGGGGACGAUAAUGACGGUACCCGCAGAAGAAGCUCCGGCUAACUUCGUGCCAGCAGCCGCGGUAAUACGAAGGGGGCUAGCGUUGUUCGGAAUUACUGGGCGUAAAGCGCGCGCAGGCGGUUCUUCAAGUCAGAGGUGAAAGCCCAGGGCUCAACCCUGGAAUGGCCUUUGAGACUAGAGGACUUGGGUACGGGAGAGGUGAGUGGAAUUCCGAGUGUAGAGGUGAAAUUCGUAGAUAUUCGGAAGAACACCAGUGGCGAAGGCGGCUCACUGGCCCGUUACCGACGCUCAGGCGCGACAGCGUGGGGAGCAAACAGGAUUAGAUACCCUAGUAGUCC